AGUGAACGCUGGCGGUAGGCCUAACACAUGCAAGUCGAACGGCAGCACAGUAAGAGCUUGCUCUUACGGGUGGCGAGUGGCGGACGUGUGAGGAAUACAUCGGAAUCUACUUUUUCGUGGGGGAUAACGUAGGGAAACUUACGCUAAUACCGCAUACGACCUACGGGUGAAAGCAGGGGAUCUUCGGACCUUGCGCGAUUGAAUGAGCCGAUGUCGGAUUAGCUAGUUGGCGGGGUAAAGGCCCACCAAGGCGACGAUCCGUAGCUGGUCUGAGAGGAUGAUCAGCCACACUGGAACUGAGACACGGUCCAGACUCCUACGGGAGGCAGCAGUGGGGAAUAUUGGACAAAGGGCGCAAGCCUGAUCCAGCCAUACCGCGUGGGUGAAGAAGGCCUUCGGGUUGUAAAGCCCUUUUGUUGGGAAAGAAAAGCAGCAGGUUAAUACCCCGCUGUUCUGACGGUACCCAAAGAAUAAGCACCGGCUAACUUCGUG
rnacentral:rRNA from 1 species